CCGGCGCACGGGUGAGUAACGCGUGUGCAACCUGCCCGGCACAGUGGGAUAAUCCGGAGAAAUCCGGUCUAAUACCGCAUGACGCGGGAAGGGCGCAUGCCUUUUCCGCCAAAGGAGGCGACUCCGGUGCCGGCUGGGCACGCGUGACAUUAGCUAGUUGGCGGGGCGACGGCCCACCAAGGCGACGAUGUCUAGGGGUUCUGAGAGGAAGGUCCCCCACACUGGUACUGAGACACGGCCCAGACUCCUACGGGAGGCAGCAG
rnacentral:rRNA from 1 species